ACGGGACCUUCCAGCCUGUGGGCCGGGUGAGUGUCGCGUGGGAUCUGCCCUUGGGUUCGGAAUAUCACCUGGGACCUUGCUAUUACCGGAUGACCCUUCUGGGAAAGAUUUUUCGCCCAGGGAUGAGCCCCCGUGGGAUUAUCUUGUUGGUGAGGUGAAAGCUCACCACGGCGACAAUCCUUAUCUGGGGUGAGAGGAUGAUCCCCCACUCUGGGACUGAGACACGCCCCACACUCCUACGGGGGGCGGCGGUGGGGAAUAUUGGACAAUGGGCGAAAGCCUGAUCCCCCCCUGCCCCGUGAGUGAUAAAAGCCUUAGGGUUGUAAAGCUCUUUUACCCGGGAUGAUAAUGACAGUACCCCGAGAAAAAACCCCGGCUAUCUCCGCGCCCCCACCCGCGGUAAUAUA
rnacentral:rRNA from 1 species